rnacentral:misc_RNA from 1 species
GGGCUUGACGCCGCUGCUGACUUGCGCCCUGGCCCCUUCGCCCCACUCCACCUCGCCGCGACGCUGCGCCUGCGCCACCGCUUCUUGGAAAAAUGAUACCACCGAUAUUUCUGACGCACACAUGGACACGGACGUUUUGCGGUUAACACACGUAACCUCCAUCAUAAUACUCAAGACAAUACUUAAAAUCAAUUGCACAAGAGUCAAAAAUUAGCAAAAACAAAUUAGCAGGUGCGGCGUAUGUCCCACGUACUUCCAGAAAAUAUGCGCCUUCGACCUUAUCAACAAUUCGACGUUUAUAUUUGACAAUCAUUG